GGCGGAGCCAGUCUGGAGUCUGCAAGAAGCACAGUUGAUUUCCCGGGCUUUUGAGUGGUUUGAUCUGGUGAGGACAAGGGCAGAAGCAGGUGCAGGGUCUGGUCAUAUCGGAGGCAGACAACAAUAGGGGUGACGCGCGUUACCAGAAAGAUACCUGGUGGUGAUGUUUCCUGAGAACAUCCAGCCUUAGGGAAAACGCUAAAGAAUGGAUAUUGUAUGAAAGGUUUCAGUUGGCUUCUUACAUUUGCUUUCUUGAAGAUUGAAUGGAUCCAGUCACCUCGCUCACAACAUCAUAUGCUUAUAUUCUGUCAUUAUUUUUUUUACCCUUGUUAUGCACUUGUCGUCAUAAUUUUUAUUUCGUUAUGCACAUGGAUUGAGCAUCUCUUUAACCCCUUAACGACAUGUGACAUAAAUUUGCGUCAACAAGAAGAUAUGGAGCUGUUGCAGAUUAUGUGUAAGUAACCAUAGGAAGAAAACGAAAUGAUGUUCGGCUCCAAAAAACAAGCAAACUUUUAUUUCAUUUGGUUUAAAAAUCAAGGCAAAUGGUCCACGCUGUAUCAGGCUACUUUCACACUAGCGUUCGUCGGUCCGCUCGUGAGCUCCGUUUGAAGGAGCUCACGAGCGGACCCGAACGCA